rnacentral:tRNA from 3 species
GGAGAGGUGGAUGAGCGGUUUAAGUCGCACGCCUGGAAAGCGUGUUUGGGAUAAUAUCCCAACGGGGGUUCGAAUCCCCCCUUCUCCGCCA